GAGCUUCAGAGCACGCGUACACAAAGUAUUCGGCUGUCUAUCGCCGUCGGCAUCUGUGUGGUCUCUCAGCGACGAAGAUGUGGAGAAGAAAGAAUGGAAUCGAAGCGCACUGAAGCAAGGGAAAGACGAUGAUGACCAUAACCUUUGUUCUUCAUCGUAUGAUGAAUUAUUCAAAAAAAAAUGCAGGAACAUCCAAAAUGUAAUCAAUGAUGAUGAAAAUGGUGUUGAUGAUGUUUGGGAAAUCAGAUCCUCUAUUGGCU
rnacentral:misc_RNA from 1 species